rnacentral:lncRNA from 1 species
CUCCUCUAUAUAAACUUCUCUCUUCUUCAAUGUUUGUGGGUUGGGAAAAAUAGUAAAAGAAAUACAUAGAGAUAGGAACAGAACACGGUCCAUACUCUAGUUUAAUUAGAGUAUAGCAAAUAGGUGCGAAAGAAGUUCUUUCUUGUUCUUUGUUCACCGGAGCUUAUCGUAAUUCCGUCGUUGGUAAAGGUUGUUGCUCCCAAAGCUCGUCCAUGUUCCGGUUCGCUACUCAUUAUAAGGUAAAGGCCUUUUCUUAGUCUCGUUCGAUUCGUUUUUGAGUUCAUCCUUGUUUCUUCUGUCUGGGAUUCGUAUUUGUGUAUUGGGAUAUCAUGUGUUAGUUUUAUCUACUAUUUCAUGGAGAUAUACGAUAGAGAUCUUGGUUUCUUUGUUCAUUUGUGUUAGUUAGGGAUUAAAUUCAUUGUUCUUCCCUAAAAUUAUGUUGAUGCAAGAUAUACUUGUGUAUUGCGUAUGUUGCCAGAUGUUAUGUUUCUAAGCUUGAAAAUUAUCUCCUUGUGUAGAUCUUUGCUUGAGAUGUUGAAGAUUCAUGACUUCUUUUUUUGUGAGUUCACUUUUGGUUGGCUACCAUUGUUUGUUUGUUUUCUUAACAUGUCAUAGGUUGAUUAUUUCGCUUGUAUCUUAACUAGCAUGACCAAUAUAAAUCGGAUAGCUUAUUGCCUUACUCUUUUUUUUAUUUAUUUAUUGCGUUUGCUGGUUGAAUAUCUCGUACUAAUUUUGGCUUGUUUGAAGCAUGUCUCUUCGAUCGAUUAACAAAAUGAUGGGUUUGUUUAUAAGUUGACAUGAUUGGUCUUCUAAAAUAUGAUUAGUAAAAUGAUUGGUCUUCUAAAAUAUGUUGUGGUCGAAUGCCGUAAUGGUUUGUGUUUUCUUCUUCUUAGCUUGUCCAUUGUUUUGAGUCAAACAUAAGUGACUUAUGUUAGUUCAAAAUUGACUCCGCGAGUUGAUCAGAUUUUUUUUGACUGUUUGUUGUUUAUUCAUAAAGAUUGGAUGUUUAUUUAGUAUUCUAGCUCCGAAUAUUGAUAACCUAUCUUGAUAUUUGAGUUUCUCAUUGGUUCUCUUAUCUUGUGUGAAUCUGUUUAGUUUGUUCAAUUACGAGGAUUUGCAGUUGUUUAGUUUGUUUAGAAAUUUGUGAGAUUUCUUAAAUUACAAUCACUGCAUUUGGGCUUAGAUUGAAAGCUAAGACCAACACGUCCCUUUGGAAUUUUAGCCUUUUGAUUAAUCACUUCCUAGUCUAAAUACUACUGCCUCCAUUAUCCCGCAAUUAUUUUGUUAACUUUGCUGCAAAUAGAUGCUAAUUCUCUUAUUUGUUUAUCUCUUUGCAUGAAAUUUAUUCCAUUUGAGUCCAUCAUGGACUCCACCUCCUCGCCUUGCAUUUCAGUUGGGCCACGAAGGCCCAAGUUUGCCCUUAUCGAGUCAGCACUCAUUUCCGAGCUAAGGAUAUUGAAGAAUAAGUCCAGAAAAUCGAUGUACAUAUGUUUGGAGCUUAUAUACGAGAUUGUAUGCACUAGUAUACAACUAGUGUAUACAAAAAUGGAAAUGGGCCUAAUGGACCCGAAAUUCAGCUCGUAUUCUGUUAUUUUUGGGCCAAGUCCCUUUAUUGUAAUUAUUAUUAUUUGUUAGUUAUUAAGACAGAUACAAGGAGACAAGAAUUGGGCCAAAGGCCCAAAGAAAAGCAAAUUUCAAAGAUUAGUUUAGGACAUGUACUAAAUAUUGGGUCUUUGGUCCCAAAGCAAAAAAUUAGGCCCAAGUAUUGGCCCAGGCGGACAUAAUACCAGACUUGGGCCCAAACUCUCUCUCUCCUUUUAUUUUUAUCUGCUUCGUAUUUGUUGAAGUGGUUAUUUGCUAGUCAAUUUUAAGGUUCCUAAUUCGAUUUCCCCAAAAGAUAGUCAAUUCAGGAUUUUCUAAAGACUAAAUAAUCAUGCUUAUUUUUCUACUUAAAUUAUGUUAAUUUUACUUAAUAAUAUUUUUAAUAUUUCCCUCUCCCC